rnacentral:rRNA from 1 species
AGCGAACGCUGGCGGCAGGCUUAACACAUGCAAGUCGAGCGGGCAUCCUUGUGGUGUCAGCGGCAGACGGGUGAGUACCGCGUGGGAACGUGCCCUUCGGUUCGGAAUAACUCAGGGAAACUUGAGCUAAUACCGGAUACGUGCGAGAGCAGAAAGGUUUAUCUGCCGAAGGAUCGGCCCGCGUCUGAUUAGCUAGUUGGUGAGGUUAUGGCUCACCAAGGCGACGAUCAGUAGCUGGUCUGAGAGGAUGAUCAGCCACACUGGGACUGAGACACGGCCCAGACUCCUACGGGAGGCAGCAGUGGGGAAUAUUGGACAAUGGGGGCAACCCUGAUCCAGCCAGGCCGCGUGAGUGAUGACGGCCUUAGGGUUGUAAAGCUCUUUUCUUCGGGACGAUAAUGACGGUACCGGAGGAAUAAGCCCCGGCUAACUUCGUG